UUUAUACGUCGAAUUUUGGUCGCGUCGAAUGCAAUUAAGACCAUAGAUAAUGAGAUGAUAAACCUCAUUAACUUUCAUUAUCUAUUGUUUGAAUUGCAUUCGACGCGACCGAAAUUCGACGUAUAAA